CAGAAGUGACAGAUCCUAUGCUUCCUUGUCACUCCCAAAGAGAACCUCAGCAUCUUCAUCUCUACUACCUCCUGCUCUAUGAGAGGUCGACUGGGGUGCCAGGAAGAGUCGGGGGACGCGGAACGUUUAGAGGACCAAGAUGAUGUUUUACUGACCCUGUGUCUUGUCAGCUUCUGGUUUUGUUUCUGGUCAUCAUCUUCACCAACCCUGCCUAUCUGCAGCAGGGCAGGAGAAUGGGAGGGGCCGGCUCAGUACUUCCUGCUUAAAUAUAUGAGUGAUGUCACUGAUUGUCUGGCUGGGUUCUACCAAUUAGAGGGUUUCUUUUGGAGUAUUGCUUUGUUUUUCUUUAAAGUAACUUUUUGACUUCUUUUGUAUUACCUG